UACGUAGGGUGCGAGCGUUUGUCCGGAAUUAUUGGGCGUAAAGAGCUCGUAGGCGGUCUGUCGCGUCUGCUGUGAAAACUCAGGGCUUAACCCUGAGCUUGCAGUGGGUACGGGCAGACUAGAGUGCGGUAGGGGAGACUGGAAUUCCUGGUGUAGCGGUGAAAUGCGCAGAUAUCAGGAGGAACACCGGUGGCGAAGGCGGGUCUCUGGGCCGUAACUGACGCUGGAGGAGCGAAAGCAUCGGGGGAGCGAACAGG
rnacentral:rRNA from 1 species